rnacentral:tRNA from 1 species
GGCGACAUAGCCAAGCGGUAAGGCAGAGGUCUGCAAAAUCUCUAUCCCCGGUUCAAAUCCGGGUGUCGCCUCCA